UACGGGGGGGGCAAGCGUUGUUCGGAAUUACUGGGCGUAAAGGGCGCGUAGGCGGUCUGCUAAGUUGGAUGUGAAAACUCUGGGCUUAACCCAGAGCCUGCAUUCAAUACUGACAGGCUAGAGUUCUGGAGGGGAUAGCGGAAUUCCUGGUGUAGCGGUGAAAUGCGUAGAUAUCAGGAGGAACACCGGUGGCGAAGGCGGCUAUCUGGACAGAGUCUGACGCUGAGGCGCGAAAGCUAGGGGAGCAAACAG
rnacentral:rRNA from 1 species